UACGAAGGGGGCUAGCGUUGUUCGGAAUUACUGGGCGUAAAGGGCGCGUAGGCGGCACUGUUAGUCAGGCGUGAAAUUCCUGGGCUCAACCUGGGGACUGCGCUUGAUACGGCAGAGCUAGAGGAUGGAAGAGGCUCGCGGAAUUCCCAGUGUAGAGGUGAAAUUCGUAGAUAUUGGGAAGAACACCGGUGGCGAAGGCGGCGAGCUGGUCCAUUACUGACGGCUGAGGCGCGA
rnacentral:rRNA from 1 species